rnacentral:rRNA from 1 species
AACGCGAAGAACCUUACCUGGGCUCGAACGGCUCACGAACGUCUUUGGAAACAGAGAUUUCCCGCAAGGGACGGGAGUCGAGGUGCUGCAUGGCUGUCGUCAGCUCGUGUCGUGAGAUGUUGGGUUAAGUCCCGCAACGAGCGCAACCCUUGUCCUGUGUUACCAUGCCGAAAGGCGGCACUCGCAGGAGACCGCCAGCGAUAAGCUGGAGGAAGGUGGGGAUGACGUCAAGUCCUCAUGGCCUUUAUGUCCAGGGCUACACACGUGCUACAAUGGGCGGUACAAAGCGCUGCUAAACCGCAAGGUGGAGCCAAUCGCAAAAAGCCGCUCUCAGUUCGGAUUGCAGGCUGCAACUCGCCUGCAUGAAGCUGGAAUCGCUAGUAAUGCUAUAUCAGAACGAUAGCGUGAAUACGUUCCCGGGCCUUGUA